UGUGUGAAGAAGGUCUUCGGAUUGUAAAGCACUUUAAGUUGGGAGGAAGGGCAUUAACCUAAUACGUUAGUGUUUUGACGUUACCGACAGAAUAAGCACCGGCUAACUCUGUGCCAGCAGCCGCGGUAAUACAGAGGGUGCAAGCGUUAAUCGGAAUUACUGGGCGUAAAGCGCGCGUAGGUGGUUUGUUAAGUUGGAUGUGAAAGCCCCGGGCUCAACCUUGGAACUGCAUCCAA
rnacentral:rRNA from 1 species